UACGGGGGGGGUAAGCGUUGUUCGGAAUUACUGGGCGUAAAGGGCUCGUAGGCGGCCAACUAAGUCGGACGUGAAAUCCCUCAGCUUAACUGGGGAACUGCGUCCGAUACUGGAUGGCUUGGAUUUGGGAGAGGGAUGCGGAAUUCCAGGUGUAGCGGUGAAAUGCGUAGAUAUCUGGAGGAACACCGGUGGCGAAGGCGGCAUCCUGGACCAAUAUUGACGCUGAGGUGCGAAAGCGUGGGGAGCGAUCCGG
rnacentral:rRNA from 1 species